rnacentral:tRNA from 1 species
GCCGAGGUUCCCCGAGCCUGGUCAAGGGAUCGCCCUCGAGAGGCGACGGCUGCGAGGCCACGAGUGUUCGAAUCACUCCCUCGGCG